UCAUCCUUCUCUAACUUCUCUCUACAUUCCCUCUCAUUUUUUCCUUUACCUUCUUGGUGGCCAAACACCACACCCUUGCUCCACCCUUACACCACCACCUUAACCCACCAUCUCCACCACCGCCGGUCACCUUAUCUCGCCGGAAAAAGGGUCCGGUCGGCCACUCGUUAAAUCCAUCCGAAAAUAGCACAAUAGAAGUACCAACUCUAGAUUUUUCUUAAUCUUUUGAAGAAUCAAAGCAUGGGGUUUAUUUUCUUGAUGGAUUAGAGGCUUGUAAUUGAUUCAUAGACUUUUGUGUGGCUCGCCUCAACUUGGAAGACUAGAAUUUUUUUUGAAAGAUCAAAGGUGGGCAUUUUGUAGUUGAGGUUUUGCUUAGGGUCAUUCUAGGAUGUAAGUCUACCUUUUAUUUUAUUUUUUUUAUGAAGGAGGUUGAUUGUAAAUAAUUGCUCAUGAAGUUGGAUGUAUUGAUGGAUUCGUGAAUAGCAUGUAUUAUUUUUGGGGAGGAAAUGCUAGGGAACUAUCUUGUAGCAUGAUAAUACUUUUUGUCUUUGAAUAGAUCAUCUCAUACAUGUUGGGCAAUUGAAAGGUCUUAUGCACUUUUGGUGAUGUGGUGAUGUGAUGUAAGGAUUAAACAGGAAUUGUGGUGUAAAGGUGCUAUAGCGUUUGAGGUGCACCCUCUUGGCGGGGUUUUGCCUUGCCAAGAUUGGGUCGUUACGUAUGUAGUUAUUUGUUUUUAACUCUCCCAAUCUUCUCCUCAUUUGGCAUCUAUACUAAAUCAAAUGGUGGCAUGCAUUGUUCAUUCUAUUAAUAAUGUUUAAUUAUUUAAGAUCCUUAUAUGGCUUUGCCUAAUACUCUUAUGUUUGUGCUAAUGUGAGCAAGACAAUAAGCAUCUACAUAUGCCCGGAAUUCUGAAGACAAUUGGUAAUAACGUUUUAUACAUUCACUGUUGCAGGGUCCGGUGAAUUACGUAUGUCUCCAUUGUGUUAAACCAAGUAUGGCUAUGUUUAUCGUCGCGAUUCACAUACUCGGCAUGUAAACCAAUGAAGACUAGCAAUAAACUCUCUCAUCAAUUUGAAUUUAACUCAUUCAAGCUUGAAAUUUAUGUUAUAAGCAGAAAUAGAUUUUUGAAACACAAUCUAGUAAAGUUAAGUGGGUGUUUGGAAAGUUGCUAUUUUAGUAGGGUGUUUUAGUUUUUGACUAUUUUAGUAGGUUAAAAUUUUUGUAU